CGGGCUCAACCUGGGAAUUGCGAUGGAGACUGCAAGGCUUGAAUCUGGCAGAGGGGGGUAGAAUUCCACGUGUAGCAGUGAAAUGCGUAGAGAUGUGGAGGAACACCGAUGGCGAAGGCAGCCCCCUGGGUCAAGAUUGACGCUCAUGCACGAAAGCGUGGGGAGCAAACAGGAUUAGAUACCCUGGUAGUCCACGCCGUAAACGAUGGAUACUCGCUGGCAGCGAUACACUGUUGCUG
rnacentral:rRNA from 14 species